CUACGCGUGCCCAUCCCCUGUUUUGCAUCUCGCCGCCCCUCCUCCAAAUCCCCAUGGCCGCCGCCCCCUCCUCCCAAUCCCCCAUGGUCGCCGCCUCCCGUCCGGUGCUGCCGCACCACACAGCCGGCGGUUGACCCCACACCGCUGCUGCUCCCACUCCUCCAGCGCCAUCUCCCCCCAUCGACCGCCGCCCUGUCGCCCCGUCGCCGUCCAGCCAAUCGCCUCCGUCGCCGACCAACGCUGCACCGUCGAUGUCCAGCCACCCAUCGUGCGCCCUCCACCCAUUCUAGCGGCGCCUUCAUCCCCGACGACCGGCGCCCCUCGCAGUCUCGUAGUACAACGCCCCUCGGAGUCUCGUAGUACAACGCCCCUCGGAGACUCGCAAUACAGGGCCACUUCGAUCCCCAUCGACCGGCGCUUCCAGCGCCGCCCCAUCGACGUCCAGCAGUCCCCCUCGUUGUCCAGCCACCCCAGCGCCUCCGGAUCGACUGGCGCGUCCUCGUCUUCCAGAUCCGACUCACUACCUCGCCCUCUGUUUCCCUUCCAGUCCUGCGCCUGCAAACCGACCAAAAAAGAAGGCAAAAUCAGGACGGUGUACUUCUACGAAGGCCAAGUUUGAGGAGUGAUAGUGUUGCACCGCAGCCCUCUCCAUUGACAGUCCAGAAUGGAAAGAUUAAGUGUCCUUGUGCUAAAUGUCGAAACUAUGAGAGCAAGAACAGGGAUGAUGUAGAGUUAGAUCUCUCUCAUUUUGGUUUCAAGCGGAAUUAUAC